UGUUCUGUUCGUAACGUCUGUAGUGUGCCUGUGUGUUUGUUUGUCCUGGAGCUGUCCUGCCUGGCCGGUAGUGAUGGUAGCUAAUGUGGGGGUCCGUUGGUGUAGCAAUAUACAUUGUCCGGACUGUUUUGGCAAAGACAUCCGGUCUGCCUCUGGGCACGUACUGAAGGGCAGCUGGCACAGAGUCAUCUCCAUAGUGUUUGGCAGAUGCGAAGGGGGAGGCUUGAGUUGCUUGCGAGCAGCUGUUCGCAUAGUGCUUGAAUGGUGCUAGAGGAGGGGUAAGCUCGCAGAUGUGGAGUGCUCUUUUUUGUUGUUUGCUUUUUUUUCUCCUGACUUAGAUAAACCUUAGGAGGAACCGGUCCAAGGAAAGAGCGCCUUCUGGAACUGUCGAGCCUUCAUUUGGCAGCUCGGUGACUGGCUUGGUCUACUUGUGAGCUGAAAGGCAGCCUGCAACCUAGGACGUCAUCACAGCCAGAGCAGUCUCUGGUAAGGUGUUGUAGCUGGCUUAAGAGGGCAGAUGGAAGCAUCUGCCUCGGGCAGGUGAGCGGGCAGAGGUAAGGCAGCAGAUGAGAGUAACUGUCGUAGCU